rnacentral:tRNA from 1 species
AGUCCUGAGGUAUUCACGUCAGAUUGCAAAUCUGAAGAAGCGGCCUAAUACCCGCCGGGGCUU